rnacentral:sRNA from 38 species
UGUAUCUGAAGCCUGACGAGGAUGAGAACCUCCGGGGGCAAGAGGUUCGACUCGAGCGCAGCGAGAGAACGUUGCGUCAGCAACGGCCCGCAGGGCGAGCCACGCAGUGGCGAGUCAUCCUCUAUCACCAGCA